rnacentral:misc_RNA from 1 species
GUUAAUUGUAUAGCUUCUAUGAUAGUUUUGGUUAUAUAAUGAUGAAGUAAGACUUAAGAGUAAAUAUGAAAGUAAAUUAUGUAUUACCUUUGUUGUUUUGGGAACGUUGCCUCUCAUUGUGAUGUUCUUGCUAGCAAUUUCGUUGGCGAUACGCAUUCUCUGUUUCGGUGCCAUUUUUGUAUAAAAUCAGUGAUAUUUGUCCUUCUACUUACAAUUUUCUUAAAAUUAAAGGCUGUAAAGCCGAACACGCACAAGCUCACUUGACACGUAUGUAAAAGUGAAAUAUCCAGUCGAUCAACGAAGCAAAUUUACAGAAAACGUCAACACGUCGCGUCGGUACGUCACUUGAGGAAAAUUUCUAUUGUAUAUCGCGCAAGCGCUACCUGACACGCGUCACAUUUGUGUUGCCCUUUAUUUUGCCUUUUAAUUGUAUUUUUACAGAUAUUAAAUUAAUAAUAAAAAAGU